rnacentral:ncRNA from 1 species
UACACUCCUUGGGCCUUCGGUUCCGCUCGAUCGGAAAGCAGCCGGUCGACGGUGAAACGGGAAACAGUGGCGCGCCCUGCGCGCACAAACUGUGCUGCCCCCGCAACGGUAAGAGAGCGUCGCCGGCGAUUUGCGCCAGCAUCGUCCUGAUCAAUUGCCACUGUGAUGCCGCCCGGCAUCGCGGGAAGGCGAUCGGGAUGCUCUCAGCCCGGAGACCGGCCGAAGGGGGCUCGCCGGCG